CUUGUACUCCCUCCGUCUGAAAAUACUUGUCAUUGAAAUGGAUGUAUCUAGAUGUAUUUUAGUUCUAGACACAUCCAUUUUGAUGACAAGUAAUUCUGGACGAAGGGAGUACUUG
rnacentral:pre_miRNA from 1 species